GGUAUAGAACGACGUCGGAGCAAGUUAAGAGAAGGAGGAAGAAGAUGAUGACGACGAAGCAGAAGAGCUUUGCUCGAAGGAGAGAGCUUGCCAGAAAUAACUAAUAAGACAUUCACUCUGAGACGGGCGGCCAUCCGGCCCGGACGAAACGCGCUGAAACAGCGCUGGAUUUUGGUGGCCGAAGAGUGCAAUAUCUUGGGGCCCUAUAGAGAGGGCCCCCAACCCGAGAGUUACCGCCGCGAGGCGGGCACACUAGCUAGGGAGCAUGGAGCAAUUCGAGCAAUUGCUGACGUGCGCGAUAUGUCUCGAUCGCUACAGGAAUCCGAAACUUCUACCAUGCCAGCACAGCUUCUGUAUGGAGCCGUGCAUGGACGGCCUUGUCGACUACGUACGUCGACAGGUCAAGUGUCCAGAAUGCCGCGCCGAACAUCGUAUACCCUAUCAGGGCGUACAGGCGUUUCCAACAAACGUAACGUUGCAACGAUUUUUGGAGCUGCACAUCGAAAUAACCGGAGAACUACCGGAUCCGACGAGCGGCCAAACGAUGGAACGUUGCGGCGUGUGUUCGGAAAAAAGUUAUUGCUCGCUAUGUGUGCACUGCGAGAAAAAAUGCUGUCCCGAGUGCAAAGACGCUCAUAUGGACAUACUCAGGCGCGAAAUCGCUCGCAUAAAUUCGCAGAUACGUCGGGGUCUCCAUCGGCUGCAAGAUGCUCUCGCUCUCGUGGAGAAAAACACCCUCGGUUUACAAACGAAUUGUGCUUCGGUCGCUGAGGAAGUUGAUGAGAUCUAUCGAAGAUUGAGCAAAGCACUAAAAGAUCGUACGGAACAUUUGCGUAACGAGAUCGAGCGUUAUUCCGGAAGCGAGAUACGGGGACUUCUCCAACUCAAGGAGAAUCUCGAGCUCGAGAUAGCAAACAUUCAGAGUAAUUGCGACCUCGCUGAUGCUCACAUAAACGAGAAUGUGGCGUGGGACGAUGCGGAACUGCUCGAUACGAAGGAGCUCUUUCUCCGUACGGUCGAAUUCAUCAGAAACUUCGAAUACGAGGCCGGAGACUACGGUCGUCGUGUGCGUUUCGUAAUGGCACACGAACCCAAUCAGCUGGUACUUCACGUCGCGGGGUACGGUGAACUCAACAUCAAGCCCGAAACCGGAAGUGUCGGACACUUAGGAACGACCGGUGGAUUGGCACCACCCAGUGGUUCCCCCGGUCUGAUGAGGAGCAAGAGUGAUCAUCGUCUAGCAUCCCAAUAUCGCCAACAAGAGGAAGAACGUUUGGCCAGAAAUCGAUACGUCCCCGAUUACGAAUACGAUGUACCUGAAUACGAGACACCACGGAACAAAUCGAGAUACCGGAGCCGUUUCAUGCGCCAUCGCGACGGUGAAGAAUCGGACGGUGACACGAGAUCGACGGUGAAGUUUAGCUCCGCACCUGCCGAGAGCGCCCAGCGAGAAAAAGUCCUGGACACGGAAGACGCUGCCCGCGGUCCACUUUCCGGUAUAUUCAGGCUCACCGACUCUCCCAGAGUCAUGAAGAAGCUCCAGGAGUGCGAAAGGGCCGGAAAACGGAAGAAAGAGGAACCUGCGGCUCCCCAGCCACCGGCACCAAAGCCACAGAUCCAAGUGAGAAAGGCGCCAACGGCUACGGCGAAACAACCUACCGAAGACGACGAAAUUUCCAGGAUCAAAAAGCAGAACAAAAGUGCUUCGGUUGCCCAAACUACCGAAACGGUCGAAGAACGUCAGCCCGUUCCAACUACCCCCGUGCACACUCCACCUCCUCCUCGUGAACAAGAACGAGAAAUCGAGGAGUCUCCGAGAAGAACACCUAUAGGAAGGAGAACAUCGGAAGUGCACAAUCCAGCGGCGAGAAGCGCGUCGUCGGAUUCGAGCACCGGCUCCGAGAGCUCUACCGGUUCCGGCAUUCGUAGCACCGGCGCACCCUUCACCGCUGAAGAGAUGAAACAGAAGUACCUUUCAAGAGCACCACCGACUACCACCACGAACACCGUCUCGUCCGGACCGGGAAUCACUACGCCGACGAGUCGCGAUAGCGUUACCACGCCUACCAGCAGCCCCAGACCCUUCCAGAGCCGUUUUUUAGGCGGAGGUAAUCGCGCAGCCCCUCCACCUCCAGUUGCGGCAGUGCGCGAAGAACCAGCAAAGAAAAAGGAGGAGGAAGAAGACGACGACGACGAGGAAACGACGAGUUCGUCCGAGGAAACGGAGUCCGAGACGGAGGAGGAAUCGGAAGCGGAGACUCACGCGUCUACACCAACAACGACAUUGCCAGCGUCGCAGGAGCGUCAGAGAAAUGAAUCGGCAAUGGCGAGGACGGACAUUGGUCCGCUGCUUGCCCGAAGCGCCGAAGCUCGACGUGGAAGCAAAGAGGACUCACCUUCGACCCGAUAUACGUCACCGAGAGGAAGUCCAGCGCACUCGGUAUCAUCGCCAACAAGUACAACAGCAUCAUCAGCGCCAGGCGGCUAUACCAGCAGAUUCCUGAACAAGAGCAGGAGCCAGGCGGCGGUGACGACACCCCGCGAACGUGAUCGGGAGCGCGAACGCGAGCAGCGAGAGAGGGAGCGAGAAAUAGAGCCGGAAGUUGAGCCAAUGUCACCGAGAUCUCGUUACGCCGCUCUCAAGGAAAGACGCCAGAGACUCGCACGUUCAAGAAGCUCUCACAACUUCGGCAACGACGAUCUCGACCUCGACGACGAUCCACCAUCACCGACUACUCAGUCGCCGAAUGCUUAUCUUGCCGCGAAAUACGGAGCUGGAUCUGAAUUGGCACGUAGUCGUAGCACUCACGCCCUUAAAUCGCGCGAACCGAGCCCCGACCGUGAUCGAGGCGGCACGGAAAAAGAUGGCGCUGCCCUCAGCUCCUGGGCUCGUUAUCUCAAAAACAAGUAUGGCAAUCGCACUGUCAAAGACAAAGAACCACCCUCUUCGACAUCCUCGAUACCGUCUUCGAGCGCCAGUGCAGCCUCGAGGCGAUUGUCAUUGGGUCUACCCCUCAGGCACACCGGCCAAACAUCCUUCGAAUCUUCUGAUGACGACCAAAAAAACCCGUCAGGCUCCCCCACGUCCCCUACAGCAGCUCCCGUUAUACCCGCCCCAGCAGGUUCCUCCACUAGGAAUCAGUACCUGCUGAAGCGGAGGCAGCUGUUUAAAUUUGGGAUGCGGGGGAGCGGUGCCGGAUGUUUUACUUGGCCGAGAGGCCUCGCAGUCGGCCCUGACAACUCCAUCGUCGUGGCCGACAGCUCUAAUCAUCGUGUUCAAGUGUUCGACGGGAACGGGAAUUUCAUGAAGGAGUUUGGAACCUACGGAAGCGGUGCUCGAUCCGUCUGGCCGAUUUUUGAGAACGUUCGGCUCACAGGGCACGGCUGAUGGACGAUUCAAUUAUCCAUGGGGUAUCACCACCGAUGCUCUUGGAUUCAUUUACGUCUGCGAUAAAGAGAAUCAUCGCGUGCAGGUUUUCCAGUCGGAUGGGACAUUCGUCGGUAAGUUUGGUUCUUGCGGAAGUGGACGUGGUCAGCUGGAGCAUCCGCAUUACAUAGCGGUGAGCAGUACGAACCGUGUAAUCGUGAGUGACGGAAACAAUCAUCGGGU
rnacentral:misc_RNA from 1 species